rnacentral:rRNA from 1 species
UACGUAGGGUGCAAGCGUUGUCCGGAAUUAUUGGGCGUAAAGAGCUCGUAGGCGGUUUGUCGCGUCUGCUGUGGAAAACCCGAGGCUCAACCUCGGGCCUGCAGUGGGUACGGGCAGACUAGAGUGCGGUAGGGGAGAUUGGAAUUCCUGGUGUAGCGGUGGAAUGCGCAGAUAUCAGGAGGACACCAACGGCGAAAGCACUCUGCUGGGCCGACACUGACACUGAGAGACGAAAGCGUAGGGGAGCGAAUGG